UGAGGAGUUAUCUGGGUGGAAGCUUGUUGUUGGUGAUGUUUUCCGUGCCCCUAGUAACCCUGGCCUUCUCUGCGCGAUGGUUGGGGAUGGAGUUCAAAUCUUGGGGAUGGCUGUAGUGACUAUUAUGUUUGCUGCCCUUGGAUUCAUGUCCCCAGCAUCUCGUGGAACAUUGAUUACAGGUAUGCUAUUCUUUUACAUGAUUCUUGGUGUUGCAGCUGGCUAUGUUUCUGUUCGUCUUUGGAGGACAAUCUUCUGUGGUGAUCACAAGGGAUGGGUUGGAGUUGCAUGGAAGGCUGCAUGUUUCUUCCCUGGACUUUCUUUCCUAAUUCUUACUGUAUUGAACUUCUUGUUAUGGGGUAGUCACAGCACAGGGGCCAUUC
rnacentral:misc_RNA from 1 species